rnacentral:rRNA from 1 species
UACAGAGGUCCCGAGCGUUGUUCGGAUUCAUUGGGCGUAAAGGGCGCGUAGGCGGUCGUGACAAGUCACUUGUGAAAUCUCCGGGCUUAACUCGGAACGGUCAAGUGAUACUGUCGGACUAGAGUACAGAAGGGGCAACUGGAAUUCUCGGUGUAGCGGUGAAAUGCGUAGAUAUCGAGAGGAACACCUGCGGCGAAGGCGGGUUGCUGGGCUGAUACUGACGCUGAGGCGCGAAAGCCAGGGGAGCGAACGGG